GACGAACGCGGCGGCGUGCCUAAUACAUGCAAGUCGAACGCUUCUUUCCUCCCGAGUGCUUGCGCUCAAUUGGAAAGAGGAGUGGCGGACGGGUGAGUAACACGUGGGUAACCUACCCAUCAGAGGGGGAUAACACUUGGAAACAGGUGCUAAUACCGCAUAACAGUUUAUGCCGCAUGGCAUAAGAGUGAAAGGCGCUUUCGGGUGUCGCUGAUGGAUGGACCCGCGGUGCAUUAGCUAGUUGGUGAGGUAACGGCUCACCAAGGCCACGAUGCAUAGCCGACCUGAGAGGGUGAUCGGCCACACUGGGACUGAGACACGGCCCAGACUCCUACGGGAGGCAGCAGUAGGGAAUCUUCGGCAAUGGACGAAAGUCUGACCGAGCAACGCCGCGUGAGUGAAGAAGGUUUUCGGAUCGUAAAACU
rnacentral:rRNA from 1 species